ensembl:lncRNA
CCGCAGUCAUGAACUGUAGCCACAGCUGGAACUAUUGGAACAUUCCAGGAGAUGAAAACAAAGAUUCCCUCCUCCUUCCCUUCCAUCUUACUGAGGACACAUCAGUCACCCUUGUGUGUGCACUUUAGCCACAGCAAGAGCAAGAUCAGAGAGAAAUAAGGACUUAUGACCAUUAGACCAGGAGACAGGAAGCGAUGGUUCUGGAAGGGGCUCUGUUACUAACUUUGGAGUUCAACUGUCCAGAUAGAAAGGUGGACAUGGAAAAAUUGGGCUUUGCAAACAGUCACCCAAUUCUUGCCUUCCUGGUCCCUGGAUCACCCUUCCUAUACCACCACUGUGGAGAAAGAAGUACAGGACACUAACAAGGUACAACUACUUUCUACCCUGCCAGGACUUGACUUAAAAGAUGACCAUGCACAGAACAUUGCCCAAGAUGCUUGCCUUUCCUCUUUGCAGACAUGAUUUGGCAGGAAUUUAGUCUUCCAUUUAGGCGAUUAAGGAUGUGGUUUGAUGUUUCUAUUUAAUCUUUAUGCAGCGGCCUUCAUGAGCCAGGUCAAAUCUCAUCAAAGUUUCAAGUGAAAAGCAGUUGUUCUUUGCCCACUGAACUCAAAUAUUUUAUCAUAAGUCUUCACUAAAUGCCUAAUGUAUGCAGCAAAAAAAUAAAUAUAAGUCACAGAAAAACAUUUAAAGAAACAUGUUCAGAAUCCAUAACUAAAAAACUAAUAUAAAGCAAAUCAAAGAAGGUAAUUUAGGCCUAGGAGUUAGAGGACUAGAAUUAUUCAGGCCAUGUGGCUUAAAUGCUUAUAGAAUAGUGGUUUCUGGCACAGUCUCUCGAGUCAGAAUGCCUCAUUCAAAUCCUGGGUCUUUCAUUGACUACCUAUGCAACUUUGGGUUAUCACAAAGUUUAAUUAAUAUACAUAAAACACUCACACCAGUAUUUCACACAGAGGGUAAGUGUUAGCUAAUGCCGUUGUUAUUAUUGGUGUUGCUAUUAUGAGCUACAAAACAUGAACAAUUGAAUUCUAUCUUUGGGCAGCAAUGUCUUUAUUCAUAAAAUGAGGGCAAGAUAUUAUCUUUUCUAACUAUGUUCUGAAAUGACUUGGGGCUCCUCUGCCCCAUCCCAUUCUACAUUUUAUUCAUUUUAUUCAUCAUCUUGGGGUUUCAUGUACUUUUUUACUUGCAGAAAGGACUCUAAAAAACAAGUUGCAAAUCACUAGGCCAGAUGGUAUAAGGUCUGUCUUCAACGAAAGUUUUGAUUCUCUGAGUGAAAAAAAUGCUCUUGACAGGGGACAGUGGGAUGAAGUGGUCUCAGAGGAGGUGGCAUCAUACCAGGGGGAGCUUCUUGGAAGAAGUGAGUUGGAAAGUUAAAAUCUGGGUGUUUCUAGCAGUUGGUAAACCUGGAAGAGAAGUUGUAAUUCCCAAAGAGAGGUGAGUGUGCAACAUAGAUAUAGAACCAAAACUAUGCAGGGAGAAAAAGUUUCAACGACCCAAAUCCCUGCAGUCAGGGAGAGAGAAUGAGUAGACAAAGGCUUCAAGAUAAUAGUCUCAAAUUGAAGUUUGAUUAAAGUUUGAAGCAAUGAACAAGGUGAGAAAAGAUGAUUGGCUCUAUUGAGGAAAGCAGCACCUCACCUAUCCUCUUUUUUGCACGGACAGGAAAGCAAUGUUUAGAGGAAGAAGGCUCUUGUCCGUGGGCACACAAUUAGUCACCAACCCUGGUAGUCAUUAUUAGCUGCGAACCAACUAGCCAUUCUCCCUUUUUCCUUAGCAAUAGCUAACUUUUUAGCUAGGCACAUUGCUGAUUGAAUUAAAGAAAACAUGUCUGAUAUGGCUUGGCUCUGUGUCCCCACCCACAUCUAAUCUUGAAUUGUAAUCCCUACAUGUGGAGUGAGGGAAGUGAUUGGAUUACGGGGGCAGUUUCUCCCAUGCUGU